AGGAGUUUGAUCAUGGCUCAGGACGAACGCUGGCGGCGUGCUUAACACAUGUAAGUCGAACGGAUCAUUCAAUCUUUUUGGUUGGGUGGUUAGUGGCGAACGGGUGAGUAACACGUGAGUAACCUGCCCUUCACUGGGGGAUAACUGUGGGAAACUUCAGCUAAUACCGCAUGUUCACGCAUUCUCGCAUGGGGGUGUGUGGAAAGAUUUUUUGGUGGGGGAUGGGCUCGCGGCCUAUCAGCUUGUUGGUGGGGUGAUGGCCUACCAAGGCUUUGACGGGUAGCCGGCCUGAGAGGGCGACCGGCCACACUGGGACUGAGAUACGGCCCAGACUCCUACGGGAGGCAGCAGUGGGGAAUAUUGCACAAUGGACGGAAGUCUGAUGCAGCAACGCCGCGUGCGGGAUGAAGGCCUUCGGGUUGUAAACCGCUUUCGAUCACGACGAAUGUGACGGUAGUGAUUAAAGAAGCACCGGCUAACUACGUGCCAGCAGCCGCGGUGAUACGUAGGGUGCGAGCGUUGUCCGGAUUUAUUGGGCGUAAAGAGCUCGUAGGUGGUUUGUUGCGUCGGGAGUGAAAACACACGGCUUAACUGUGUGCUUGCUUUCGAUACGGGCAGACUUGAGGAAGGUAGGGGAGAACGGAAUUCCUGGUGGAGCGGUGGAAUGCGCAGAUAUCAGGAGGAACACCGGUGGCGAAAGGCG
rnacentral:rRNA from 1 species